AGCGAACGCUGGCGGCAGGCCUAAAACAUGCAAGUGGAACGAACCUUUCGGGGUUGGUGGCGGAGGGGUGGGAAACCCGUGGGACGGUGCCUUUGGGUUGGGAUUAACUAAGGGAAACUUGUGUUAAUACGGAAUGGGCCCUUGGGGGGAAGGAUUUAUCGCCUUUAGAGCGGCCCGCGUCUGAUUAGCUAGUUGGUUGAGGUAAUGGCUCACCAAGGCGACGAUCAGUAGCUGGUCUGAGAGGAUGAUCAGCCACAUUGGGACUGAGACACGGCCCAAACUCCUACGGGAGGCAGCAGUGGGGAAUCUUGCGCAAUGGGCGAAAGCCUGACGCAGCCAUGCCGCGUGAAUGAUGAAGGUCUUAGGAUUGUAAAAUUCUUUCACCGGGGACGAUAAUGACGGUACCCGGAGAAGAAGCCCCGGCUAACUUCGUG
rnacentral:rRNA from 1 species